GAACGCAUACUUUAGAGUAUGAGUGGCAGACGGGUGAGUAACGCGUGAGACAUCUACCUUACAGCCCGGUAUAAAUAUCUAUAUAGAGGCGAAAAUCUUUAUAUAUGAGUGAAUCCCGGAUAUUUUGAAUAAAAAAAAAGGCAAAGAACCGUUGUAAGAUGAGCUCGCGUAGGAUUAGGUAGUUGGUAAGGUAAAAGCUUAUCCAAGCCGAUGAUCCUUAGCUGUUCUGAGAGGAUGAUCAGCCACACUGGGACUGAGGCACGGCCCAGACGCUUUCGAGCGGCAGCAGUGAGGAAUUUUGGACAAUGGGCGAAAGCCUGAUCCAGCUAUAUCGCAUGAAUGAAGAAGGCUCAAUUGGUUGUAAAAUUCAUAGUUUCAUUGUAGAUUAUGACAUUGAUGAAAUGAAUAGUCCCGGCCAACUCCGUGC
rnacentral:rRNA from 1 species